GCAGUUACCUGGCAGGUGAGAUACCUUGGCCAUGUAGGUGGUUUUCCUAGGGUGAGGCUCACCCAUUGCACUUGUGGUGUGUUGACCCCUGCUAUGUCCCCAAAUGUGGGAAACUCGGCUGCAUAACUCUUUUUAGUUGGGGACUGUGUUCGCGCUCUCCCCUG